rnacentral:rRNA from 1 species
UAGAAGUAAACUAGGGCACACGGGGGAUGCCUUGGCUCUCAGAGGCGAUGAAGGACGUGAUAAGCUGCGAAAAGCUGCGGGGAUUGGCACAUACGAGGUGAUCCGCAGGUAUCCGAAUGGGGCAACCCACUACUGUGAAGCAGUAGGGCGUAUACAUUAAGUUGUGUACGGGCAAACCCGGGGA